CUGGCCAGAACCUCCCCUUCAAUGUUGAAGAGAAGUGAUGAUGGUGGUCACCCUUUUUUCCCUCCUGAUUUCAGGGAAAAGCUUCUCUCCUUGGCGCUGUUUCCCAUCCACCAGCUCAAGAUCAUUCCAGUGUAUCUGAUGAGAUCUCAGACUUUCAGAAAAGCGAUUCUUGGAAUGCCAUCUGGCUAACCAUUAGAUAUGUCCAGACGGACACUUUGCGGAUUGUCUUCAGGAAGGAAGAAAAAUAGAAGGGAGUCUCAGAACUAUUUAUACAAUUAUCCUGCAGGCUUUGGCCUGGAAAACAAGAAACUAGGACUUUCAGGUUUUUGAUUGCAUUUCUUCUUUCCUGUAUUUCAUAAAGUUUAAAUUAUAACCAUCUGUUUCAGAAGAUAUAAAAAUCCUGAUUCCAUCUUCUUCCACGUUAACAGAAUACUAACCCUGUAGGGAACCUUAUAUCAACGGAGGCACUCAAUGAUAACUAUAGUAAAAUCACAGGGAAAAACAAGCACCAAGCUGCAGUUCAUUGCCUGUCCUGCCUACCUCAUUGGCCUCCUGCACCUGCUGAUAAAAGGGGCAUCUCUCUCUAGAAGGCAUCUCAUCAGGCAGAUGUUUCCCUGUGUAGCUGUAUUGACACUGACACUAUGUUUUCUGCUUAUUUGAUGAUGGUGUUGAGAAGGAAGAGGAUGGCAAUGAUGAUGAAACCUCUUUUUCUUCCAACUCUCAUUAGACCAUUAUUCUUUUGCUCAUCUUUAAUUCUCAAAAUAUCCCCAAAUCAUUCCUGGUGAAUUCAUAGGCAUUUCACACUUUGUGAUUAAUUUAAUUUGCUUGCAGCCUUACCGCCUAUAGGACAGCGUGGGUGUGAAAAACACCACUCUAAAAUUCACCAUCUGCAAUGAGUCUUACCCUAUUCCCCACUCCGUCACUUCUCCCCUCUCGAUUCUGUAUGUAAUCCUCUGUAUCUUUCCAAUAAGCUGGAGGCAAGACAUGACAUUAUGGCCACAUAAAAUCGCCUUUUCUUAUGGUCCAGGGACGCUUUGUGCUGUUUUUGGUUAAUGUGUUAGACUCCAAUCUUCUCUCUCAAUAGGCUUUCUGUCUUCUCUAGGAAACAGUUUAUUUUUCUUUUCUUGCCGUUAAUAAACCUUUAUUGAGCACCAACACAGCAACACAGUUGAGCCCCAAACCAGCAAAGCACUGUGCUGGAUACUGGAGAUAUGGAAGUAAACAAAACCCGGUUUUUAUCCUACAGCAACCAAAACCUAAAGGAGAACAAAUCAUGCAAAGAAAUACCUAAAAUACAAUGAAACAAGAGUUCACAAGUGAAGAGUUCGGUAGUGUGGAGGAGGAAUGAUUCACAAACUAUAGCAUCUUUAUUUUUUUCUUCUCUCACAUGACUUUCUAAUAUUUGAUGGUGAAUUUCUUCUUAUUUUACUAUUUCAUAUUUCUUUAAAAUCUCUCUGUUUUUAAGGCAUGUGUUUUUCAUUUUUUAUAACACUCUACCUACCUUUGGGGGUCUCGCAGAUAAAUAUAACCUUUAUUCUGUCUGUUGGAUCUGUGUGGGAUAUAGAAAUCAGGUAAAAAGAAAGAUUUGCAGUGGGUAGAAACGCAGCCUCUUGCUGGCUUACAAAACCGUGCAGGUGCCGCCAAGCGCUGGGAUAAAAUAUGCAGUUGAGUCACACACCAUGGUCGUGGCAGAUAUGCUGCAGGCUCUUAGGAGGAAGAGACAACAAAAUGAGUCAGAAUGAAUGAGAGGAAAACCUCCCCCUCCAGCCAGAAAGAGAAAGCCUGGGAGGCUAGACAAGUUUUAUUAACACGUCUUUCAAGAGAAUAGCAGAG
rnacentral:lncRNA from 10 species